rnacentral:lncRNA from 1 species
CCGGGGUUCCCCCAGACCAUUAAUCAGCAGCAAGACACGAUUGUAUUUUAUAGCCAGGCCGACGUUGGGGGGGCAUGAAACCCAAGCCCCCUUCCGCCUGGGGUCCUGCCUGCUUAGGAGGAUCAAGGCAGAGCCGGGUGGAGCCUUAACCCCUUCUGAUCCAGUUCCCACCAGCUGGGGCACAGCUCGUCUCCCACAAACCCUGCCAAACUAGAUCCCUCAGGGGUGACAGAGGGACUGAGGGGGGCCGUGGGCAGGUGUCCUGGGGUCUUGACUGCUCCCAGGGACCUGCAGGAAGGCCUGUGGAUUAGAGGACGGUUCUGGCCCAGCACUCAGAAAACCUGGCUCUGGCUCAAGGUCUGCCCAUUUGCGGCUGUGUGACCUCAGACAAGUUGCAUGCCCUCUCUGGGCUGGAGUCCUCAGCUCUCAUCUGGGACUCCCAACAGCUUCCUGCUUAUCUUACUAGGGGUAGUCCUAUUGUCUUUAACGUGUGUGAAAUUUGAUUCUUGGCCUUGGGCCCUGCCGUCUUUAUACCAGGGUCCUCUCCCCUGGGAAUAGUUUAACCACAAUAAGAAAGUCUCACCUCUCUUAGGAAUUGGUAUUUUCGUUUUACAGACGAGGAAACUGAGGCCCCCACAGGAGUCUCUCUUACCCUGGAUCACAGCAUAGAGUUGCGCUGGAGUUCCAGUUUUCUGCUGCCAACCCCAGGGCCGGGCCUCUCCUCCCUUCUCCCUUCCUCCCUCCUGUCGUUGGAAACAGACCUGUGGACCGUCCUGGGCCUGGACUGCCGUCAGGACCAAGACAGACAGACGGAUGUCCAGCCGCGCCUGGGAGCGGAGCUUUAGUUCAGAUCUCAACCAUCAGGCACAUCCCUGCCCUUGGAGUGGUGCGGCUCUCACCGGCUCAGCCUCCCUUAAAGAAUGGUGUGAUGCUGCAAAUAAUCCUUUCGGGCAACAACAGUGAAGAAGUGCAAGUCGGGUCCCGGAACCCAGAGCUGCUCAGGAGAGACAGCUAGGACACCGUUCCAGGAGCGCGCGGCUGGUGACAGCUGGGUAUCUGUCUGUGCCUUCAAGACCAAGGUGUUCUUUCUUUUCCUUAAGUGUCAAAAAUUUUAUUUCAUAUCAUACAUUCAUGUGAUUCAAAAUGCCAAAGGACAAAGGCCUUUUAUGCAUGUAUGAACGAGGACACAUAGAAGUUCUCUUUUUCUUUUUCAUGCACAAAUGGUGGUCUGCCAUAUACACGGUUCUGCACUUUUUGUAACCUAACUAGGUAUCUUGAAGAUCUUUCCGUGAUUAAUAACAAAAGAGCAUCCACUAUUUUCUUCCGGCUGCUGAGAAAAGAGCAAUAUGGUUGGGUUGAUACUCGCCCGGCUGCUGCCCGGUGAGUGGAGCCUGGAGGUGACAAAGGUCAGAGAGACCAGGGUUUCCAUCCCAGCUCCCCCACUGGCCCUCGAGUGAGCCACGCGGCCAGAGCAGCCUGAGUGUGCCCACCUCCAACGGGGGGCAGUCGUAGCACCGGCCUCGUGAGCUGCCAGGGUUAAAUAAGGUAAUGCAUGCUGGGGUCUCAGCUCUUAUAUUUAGGCGCUCCAUAAAUGGUGGCUGCUCGGACAAGUAUUAUUAGUGAUAACAACAAGUCUUACUGCCCGUCCUUAUUGCUCAGCCAAGGGGUGAGGACUGCUGGAGAUUGUGACCCUGGUGUCCUGUUGGGACUUGAAUCCUC